rnacentral:rRNA from 1 species
AGUGAACGCUGGCGGUAGGCCUAACACAUGCAAGUCGAACGGCAGCACAGUAAGAGCUUGCUCUUACGGGUGGCGAGUGGCGGACGGGUGAGGAAUACAUCGGAAUCUACUUUUUCGUGGGGGAUAACGUAGGGAAACUUACGCUAAUACCGCAUACGACCUACGGGUGAAAGCAGGGGAUCUUCGGACCUUGCGCGAUUGAAUGAGCCGAUGUCGGAUUAGCUAGUUGGCGGGGUAAAGGCCCACCAAGGCGACGAUCCGUAGCUGGUCUGAGAGGAUGAUCAGCCACACUGGAACUGAGACGCGGUCCAGACUCCUACGGGAGGCAGCAGUGGGGAAUAUUGGACAAUGGGCGCUAGCCUGAUCCAGCCAUACCGCGUGGGUGAAGAAGGCCUUCGGGUUGUAAAGCCCUUUUGUUGGGAAAGAAAAGCAGCAGGUUAAUACCCCGCUGUUCUGACGGUACCCAAAGAAUAAGCACCGGCUAACUUCGUG